GUAGUAGCUCCCUCCGUCCUGAAUUACUUGUCGCAGAAAUGAAUGUAUCAAUACGUAUUUUUAGUUUUAGAUAUAUUUAUUUUUAUCCAUUGUGACAAGUAAUUCGGGACGAAGGGAGUACUAA
rnacentral:pre_miRNA from 1 species